rnacentral:tRNA from 1 species
GCCUUGGUAGCGCAGUAGGCAGCGCGUCAGUUUCAUAAUCUGAAGGUCGUGAGUUCGAUCCUUACCCGGGGCC